UCACAUAAUGAUUUUGAUUGUUUUUGAAAAACUCAGUUUUUCAAAGACAAUCAAAAUCAUUAUGUGA